AAAGGUAGCAUAAUCAAUUGGCUUAUAAUUGGAGUCUAGUAUGAACGGGAAUUCGGGUAUUAACUAUCUUUAAUAUAGUAUUAAAAUUUACUUAAUUAAGUGAAAAUACUUAUGAUUUAGAAAAUAGACGAGAAGACCCUAGAAAUUUUUUUGCAAUUUUUAGUAUGAGCAUUUUGUUGGGGCGACAAGGUAGCAUUUAACCUACUUUUAAUAUAGGAAAUUUAUUAAUUGAUUAAAUAAAUUACUCUAGGGAUAACAGCAUAAUAUUUAAAAGUUUGUGACCUCGAUGUUGGACUAGGGAAGAAGUUACCUAGAAGGAAAUUUCGUAUGCUCUGUUCGAGCAAUAUCCCCUACAU
rnacentral:rRNA from 1 species